GGGAUGUUAUCUCAGUGGUAGAGUGCUUGCCUAAUAUGCAAAAGGCCCUGGGUUCAAUCCCCAGAACCA
rnacentral:tRNA from 1 species